rnacentral:lncRNA from 10 species
CUUCACUCCUGAGCCAGCGAGACCACGAGCCCACCAGGAGGAACGAACAACUCCAGACCCGCUGCCUUAAGAGCUGUUAACAGUCACCGCGAAGGUCUGCAGCUUCACUCCUGAGCCAGCGAGACCACGAGCCCACCUGGAGGAACGAACAACUCCAGACCCGCUGCCUUAAGAGCUGUAGCAGUCACCACGAAAGUCUGCAGCUUCACUCCUGAGCCAGCGAGACCGCGAACCCACCAGAAGGAAGAAAUUCCGAACAUAUCCGAACAUCAGAAGGAACAAACUCCAGACGCGCCACCUUAAGAGCUGUAACACUCACCGCGAGGGUCCGCGGCUUCAUUCUUGAUGUCAGCAAGACCAAGAACCCACCAAUUCUGGACACAAAACCUCAAGUAGUCCCUCCACCGAAAGCACAUUAUAAGGAUCAUUUUGCCUCAAAGCCCUCCUACAGGCAAGAGGAGCUUACUGUGACUUCCAAGAAGAAAAUGAUGUUGUGGCAUGAAGCACUUCUCUGAUCAUAUCACUGCUGUACUAAAGGUAUGGAAUGUAUUCGGUGUUGAGGAGUUUGGAC